UUGCCUAAAGGAGUGCAACCAAAGCUGGAAAACAUGAACCAAUACCCCAACUUGAUUCAAUUCGUUCCUCUAGUUAUACCCCAUGUCGAUGGCCUCCCUCCAGGUGCUGAAACUACAUCUGUUGUUCCUCUGAACCAACAAAAAUACCUUGCUUUUGCUGUAGAUCAAACCAGGGACCAAGUUGAAGGCAUCCUAGGGCUUUAAAACCAGAUAUGGUUUUUUAUGAUUUCUGGUUUUGGAUCCCAGACUUGGCUCGCCAACUUGGGAUCCACUCCAUAUGCUAUGUAGUGGUUUCCUCGAUGAUCAUGUCGUUAGGAUCAAACAUCAGGACGAUAACCAAAGAAACGACUGUAGAAGAAGUGGCGAAAUUGCCUCCUGAUUACCCUUCUUCCACUGUGAAAUUCAAAGCUGAAGAGGCUGCUGCAUUGUUGUUUGAGGCUAACGAUUUCGGGAGUGGACUGUCGUUUGGGGAACGCACAAGGACUGCUGUGAGUGGAAGUGAUGCCAUUGCCUUCAGGACUUGCCGUGAAACCGAGGGACCAUUUUGCGACUAUUUUGCUCGAGGAAUUGGGAAGUCUGUUUUGUUGACAGGGCCUUGCUUGCCAGAAACGAAUACCCAACAGCUUGAUGAGAAAUGGGUUAGUUGGUUGAGCCAGUUCGAGCCAGGGUCUGUUGUGUUUUGCUCAUUUGGAAGCCAGAGUGUGUUGCAGAAGGAUGAGUUCCAGGAGUUGGUGCUUGGGUUUGAGCUAUGUGGGCUACCAUUUUUGGUAGCUUUAAAGCCACCCCAAGGAUUCUCGACUGUUGAAGAAGCACUGCCGGAGGGGUUUCAAGAUAGGGUUGGAGGAAGAGGGUUGGUGUAUGGAGGUUGGGUUCCACAAGAGCAGCUAUUGCACCACCCUAACAUCGGGUGUUUCGUUAACCACUGUGGGUAUGGAACGAUGUGGGAGUUUUUGCUUAGUGACUGCCAAAUCGUGUUGAUUCCUGAAAUAGGGGAUCAAAUUUUGAACACCAGAUUAAUGGUGAAAGAACUCAAGAUUGGAGUUGAAGUGGAGAGAGGUAAAAACAGGGAGGUUUCAAAGGAGUCAUUGAGUGAAGCCAUCAAGUUUGUGAUGGACAAGGACAAUGAAACAGCUAAUAUGAUGAAGAGAAACCAUGCUAAGCUGAAGCAGAUACUAUCUAACAGGGAUCUUCAAGAAGGAUAUAUCAACAAUUUCAUCCAAGCUCUGCAAGAUCUUGUCAAAUAGAGUGGCAAAAUCCAAGCAAUUGGUUAGAAAAUGAAAGUGAAUCAUAGGUAUGAUUAUUGUUUUAUCACAUUCUUAUUUUCUAAUUGUCCAUGCUUUUAUUAAUUUCAAAUAAAGCAAUGUUUAUUAAAUUACAAUUUUAAUAUAUAAAUAAAAUUCAAAUAAACUUUAAUUGAAAGUUCCAAUGAAAUGAAAUUUUGAAAUUGAAAUAAAAUUCAAAUAAAAUAUCAAUUUAAAGCAAUAUUUAUUAAAUUACAAUUUAAAUAUAUGAAUAAAAAUUUAUAAUAAAUAUAAUUUAAAUAAAGAAAGCAAUAUUUAUUAAAUUACAAUUUAAAUAUAUAAAUAAAAAUUCAAAUAAAAUUUAUUUAAAAAUUACAUUGAAUUGAAAUGAAAUUCAAAUAAAAUAUCAAUUUAAAGCAAUAUUUAUUAAAUUAUAAUUUAAAUAUAUAAAUAAAAAUUUAAUUCAACAAUUACAUGACAAAUGAAGUUAUAAUUAAAAAAGAAAAAAAAGUGAAAUGAAAUUAAAAUUGAAAUCAAAUUCAAAUGAAAAAAAUUCGAAAUGCCAAAACAUGACAGGCCGCACUUGUGACAGCCUUGUCAAAACAGGCCACCCAAUGGCUGGCACCAACGGCCCAAUGUGCCAGAUCAGCCUGUCAAUGGUCAAAAAAUUAAAUUUUGUCAUGCCUAUGAGGCCUAAUAUGUGUCAAAUCGGCCACUCAAUGGCCGGCAUCAGUAGACUAGACCUGCUCUGACAUGCCCCGGGGCAGGGGCCAAAAUUUUAUUUUCUUUUUUUACCCUUUUUACCCCUACUCAACCACUAUGGUCCCUCACUUUAAAUGUCCCAAAAUUCAAGCACCAUCGUUCAUGGUUGAUCACUAUCGAUCACCGUCACUGAUCACAAUCGUUCAUGGUUGAUCACUGUCAUCGAUCAACAUCUAUUACUGCUGAUCAAGGUUGAUCACCGAUCACUGCUGUCGAUCACCACUGAUCACUCUAUGAGUCCUAAUCCUAAUUCUCUUUUAAAUGACGACAAAGGCAUUGCUAAAAAUAUGAAUAAGGUAAAUUUUAUACCAAAUGACCCAUUUACUUUGAAUAACUAUGAUAACUUGCUUUUUAAACAAGAAAUAUAACAUUUUAUAUUUAUUAUAAAUGCAGGAUCAAUACCGAAUUGUGAGACUCCGAUUGCAUGAUCCUGAAUAUUUUUAAAAAAUAUUUUUUAAAAAAUUAAUUAUUGGCAAACAAACGGACCCUAAGUGCCUCUACUUAUAUGAUUUUAGUCAUCACACACGGUUGAACAACACAACCAUAUCUCAUAAAAGAGCGACACUUGUUUCAAUAUAAGCUUGGUAUAUAUAUAUACACGUGUGUGUGAGAGAUAUAGAUGACCCUUAAUCUUGCUAUACUUUUUUAUUAUUAAUAAAUUAAAUUAUUUUUCGUAAUUUUAUUAAAUAAUUUAAGAUUAUAUUUGAUGUAUUAAUAAUAAUAAAAAUUUGAAUUUAAAUUAUUUAUCAUUUAAAUAUCCUGAAAGGGAGAGGAAUUGAUUGACACGAAAGCUUUUCUUGAAAUUUAUUUUAUGGCCGACAACUAUUGUCUGUAUUGAUAAACAUGUUAGAAAAUAAAUGGCGUAGGUAGUCUCAGUGUGGACUGUGGACUCUCAGGUCAGUUAUUUUCGUGUCAGAUAACCUUUGUUCAUCCAAACCAAAGCAAAAAAGAUGAGCAAAUCAGGCUGCUCAAAGCUUCACAUCGCCAUGUUUCCCUGGGUUGCAUAUGGUCAUUUCAUUCCCUACCUUCAUCUCUCAAAUAAGUUGGCUCAUAAAGGCCAUAAAAUUUCCUUCAUUUUGCCUGAAGGAGUGCAACCAAAGCUGGAAAACAUGAACCAAUACCCCAACUUGAUUCAAUUCGUUCCUCUAGUUAUACCCCAUGUCGAUGGCCUCCCUCCAGGUGCUGAAACUACAUCUGUUGUUCCUCUGAACCAACAAAAAUACCUUGCUUUUGCUGUAGAUCAAACCAGGGACCAAGUUGAAGGCAUCCUAGGGGAUUUAAAACCAGAUAUGGUUUUUUUAUGAUUUCUGGUUUUGGAUCCCAGACUUGGCUCGCCAACUUGGGAUCCACCCCAUAUGCUAUGUAGUGGUUUCCUCGAUGAUCAUGUCGAUUGGGCCAAGCACCAAGACUCUAACCAAAGAAAUGACUGUAGAAGAGGUGACG
rnacentral:lncRNA from 1 species